rnacentral:rRNA from 1 species
UACGGGGGGAGCAAGCGUUGUUCGGAUUUACUGGGCGUAAAGGGCGCGUAGGCGGUCAGCACAAGUCAGUUGUGAAAUCUCCGGGCUUAACUCGGAACGGUCAACUGAUACUGUGCGACUAGAGUGCGGAAGGGGCAACUGGAAUUCUCGGUGUAGCGGUGAAAUGCGUAGAUAUCGAGAGGAACACCUGCGGCGAAGGCGGGUUGCUGGGCCGACACGUGACGCUGAUGCGCGAAAGCCAGGGGAGCGAACGGG